CUCCAGACCUGCACAGAUAUCCGGCUUCUAUGGGAGCAGCUUGCGCCCACUUUCGUUCAACCGACUGCCGUAGGUGGCGCUUUUAUAACCUGUUCGUCUGCUACGCGGUGGGCGGUUGUGCGGCGUUGUAAGUAGUACGGCAGCUGUUGUGUUGCGACGAACUGCUUCUCUAGUUGACGAUUUUUGCUAACACAGUGACAGAGAUGUCACAAGGCUUUGAUCGGUCACUUGGCUCCAAAAGUUGACUCACCGAACCUAAAAAAUGUCGGAGCGUGUAGUCCGCUGCUCUCUAAAAUAGCGUUAAAUAGCCGCUCCCACUGCCUUUUUCAAGGAGAUUAUUAUAAAUCGCAUUGUGUAUAGAGUUCGCAACGUACCCAACAGUUUCAUUGUACACGUUGUAAAAUUCGCGUCUGCGCUCUUUAGAAACUUGAAGCCACCGUAAUGUUCGACGACAGAACGAUUACCACUCAUUUUAACUCUUAAAAGUUGUCCGUGAAUGCGUCACGAGUUCAAAAAGUGAAUUACGCACACAGCUUCACUGCGUACGUAUCUUCAGCACCACCGUUAUGCUGCCGCCGUACUACGCGGAAAAGUUAGCUUUACAGUUUGAAAAGAGUUCCGUGACACGAUUUUUAAGGCCUGCACUGCAGCACGUUUUAAAGCACUGGGAUCGCUUAAUUUUUUGCAAGCUUUCUACUGAGCUAGACAUCCAACGAUAUUAAAAACAAGAUAUGCUCACCUUCCCUUGAAACAGAAUCGAUCAGACUAUUGCACAUAUCGGGUGGAGGACUUACUAGUGAAUACUUUUACUAUACUUUUACCAGAUCAUCUUCCUUUCACUACGGCACACAGUAGUAAAUCCUAAUGUCAUCUACGACAUUAGGCUGUCUGUAAUCAACUAAAGAAAGCUAGAUUAUCCUAUGAAUCUUUUUAAACAAUUUUUCCAGUCUCUUAAGGAGGCUAGGAAAGGGAAAUUUAUGCCGUUGAUCUAGCAUUGCAGCGGCCACCUAUGCUCGUUGUUUACAUUUCUUGCACCGCUCAUCCUCUUCUAGUUUCACUAUUCAAACGCAAAGCAUUCGCAAAUAUGUCUUCUUUUGUAUAUUUGUGAAUUUAUUCAUUUACCGCCAAAACAAGCGCUUUGUGCCUGCCGAAAUGGCAAGACAAGCGCUGAACAGAUCGCAGAAGCAGACGACAGCGAACAGGUUAUGACUAGCGCCACUCUGCUCGUACGUUCUUUCCCUAGCGGCAAAAGGGGCGAACUAGACCAGGCGUGCUGGAGGAGGGAGAUCUGUGCAGGUCUGUAGUUCAGUAGGUCGUGCUUUGGACAUUGAAUUUCUUGUGAGCGUCUGUGCAAGAAGGUGUAACCUUUCUCUAUGGUGAAACCUUUACGAGGUGUUUCUGCGUUGUAUGUUCGAUUUAAGUGGUCUUCGCUGCCGUGGUUAGUUUGUUUGGCUGCCCAGACUUGUUGCAGCCCAAGUAACAGUGAAGGUCAGCGUUAUUUUCUUACCAGAUUUGCUAGUGAGUGGUUCAGCCAUGGCUGUGUAUGGAAGAGAGCGGGCACUAUUUUGCAAGUCGCCUAUUACUUAAUUGCAGGCAUUAUGGGCAUGCUUCCCUGACACCUGCCUAUUCUAAAGACUGCAAAGCAGCAAGCACAGCACAUGCUAUGACAGGGUAGGUGAAUCUCAGCUAAGGCAACUGGCCACAGCUAUCUGGUGUUGAGCGAUCGAGCAGUGAUGAGACAAUCCCCCUAUGUUCCAUAAUUUUUCACUUCAUUCUUGAUGCCCUUAAUGCGUGUCACCACCCUAGCCCCCUUACUGUAUCAUCCUCCCCACUCCCUGGAGCUCUCUGAAACUCUUUUCAGCUAAUCACUGUCCCACUUUUCAACAUUCACGGGGUUGUUGAAUGACACAGCAUUCUAUAACAUUCCUAUAUUUAUGUUUCUGUGUGGACAUCGAAGCCAUUCACCUAGCUCCCAUAGUUUGUUGUGGCGGCUUCUUAGCUUCCCUGGUCCAGCACCCCGUCCUUGAUAUAGAUUGCCGCGCGCAAAUCAGCAUUCUGUAGGCCUUUCUUUCUUGUCCCGUUUUCUCUCCAUUUUUUCAUUCUUAGCAGUGUGUACAAACUAGCCUGAGAGCAAGCUCUUCUGAAGUUUAUUAGCAUAAUGAAAGUCAGAGUCAAUGGAAAGUAAAAGAAGAAAGAAGAAGGUGGGGGGAGUGUUUUUUAUGAGUUUUCUAAACAAGCAAGUUGAUAUAAGUAAGUUGUAUAAUAGCAAGCACCAAGUAUGAAAGAAUAAAAAACACAUUUGCA